rnacentral:rRNA from 1 species
GAAUAAACUUAAAAUUUUUUUUUAGGUCAAGAAAUUAUUUAAUUGAAAUAACAUUAUGAUUUGUGUUUUAGUAUAGGAAUAGAAUAAAUUUAUUUAUUUAUAGUGGAUUAGUAUUGUGAAAGAAAGUUGAAAAAUUUUGAAAAUUUCUUUUUUUGGAAGUAGAUAAUUUGUCGUACCUUGUGUAUCAGGGUUUAUCAAAAUUAAAAUAAGUAAAUUAUUUUUCCCGAGUUGAAAAGAGCUAAUUUAUUAUGUUAGUUAAUGUAUUAUCAUUAUUAAUAAUAAUAAAUUUGUAAUGAAAUGUUAGUCGGUUUUUAAGAUAUCUGGUUCUCUGAGAAAUGAAUUCAAUUCAGUAUCUAGGAAUAAUUUACUAAUUUUAUAGUAAAUUGUUAACUAGGUAUAAUAUCUUAAGGGAUAAGCUUUAGGGUAGAUAUUAUAAUUAUUAUUUUAUAUUUAAAAUUGUAGGCUUUAAAUUAGCCAUCAUGGUAAUAAUGUUAUAAAUUAUUUUAUAUAAAUAUGAUUUUAUAAUAAUUUUAAAUAUUAAAUCAGGGUGAAUUAUAGAAUUAAGGUUUAAUUGUAAUAAUGAUAAAAUUAGUAUAU